UUGACAUCCCAAGACUCCGGGGCGCCGGCCGGCCAUGACCUUGCGCCAUCCCGCCUCGGCGCCCCAGGCCCGCACCGGGCAGUCUGCCCCGCCGCCGCCGUCCUUGGGGGCCGCACGGGCUUCCGGCGACCCCCUGCGGCAGCGGCGAGGUGGGCUCGAGGGGGGGGAGGUUGGGGUUGGCGGCAGCUGCAAUGGCGCUGCCCGUGUCGCCCGCGGUGGGGGGCGACGCGGGGGUUCUGUGUUCUAAGUCCCCGAAGAUGAAUAUCUGAGCAUGCUCUUGGAGUGCCUACAGGAUCCCAUGGCGCUUUCCGUGAUUAUCAAGUUGAUGCAGUUUCUUUAGAAUUUUCACCAACAUUUAAUGUCAGAAAUGAGAAUGCUAAAUCUUUAUUUCUUCUAGGGGGGGAAGGUAUGUUCUUGUUGUAUUUUUCAGGCUGCAUUAUUGUUAGACAUAAGAGGUGUCUUGUGAUUAUUGACUUGCAAUGAAUAGUUGACUAGACAACUUUGCACAAGUGUCGCUCUUGUGUUUGCUAGUCUCAUAGAACAUAACAAACAUUUUGCGAAGGUUGACAGGUUAUAACUACUCUAGGCUUGCCAUUCUUGUUACUGUAUUUUUCUUAUCUAAUAACUAAGGCUAUUGAACUUUGCCGUGCAUUGAGGCAUGCAACUGUUUGUAUCAGAACUUCACAGCAAUGAGUAUUAUUUGCACAAGUUUGUUGUUAGUGUGUACAGCAACUUCAGAAGUUGUAUAAUCUCCGAGGAACAUAGAGCAUAACAGAAAAUUGUUUUGUUUCCAAGUUCCAACAUGAGCUUGCAAGUUCUUACAGGAUGACUACAUGUUAGUAGAUUGAACCACAUAGCAGGCAAAAUUACAAUUACUUAUAUUUGGAUCUUAUACGCGCCUCCAGACCAUUUGAUAGCUGCAAUAUUUUGUAAGAAUGGUAGCAUAUGCAGCCUUAUCGAUAAUAGUACAUAUAAGUUAUGUAUAUCAAGAAUAAGUUGGAGGAAUGAAAGUGUUACCAUGAACUGGUAAUACUUAGAGGAACACCAUAACAGAUUGGUUUUGCCUACAAUUUUUUUUUAAAAAACCCAAUGGAAAAUGGGUGCACGGAUGGAUGUGUUUCUUGCACCAAACCGAGCACUGGAACAUGGUCUUAACCUUUAUGUUGCCACUGCCUGAAAAUCUUGGCAUGUUAACAGCUUUGCUUUCAUUUUCUGCAAAAGUUGCUCGAUCUACAUUCUAUCAUGGCCACAGCAGAAGUUUUUAACGUGUUUGGAAAUUCCUUUGAUUCAGGUUAGUGGAAGGAGUGGUGCGUUCAGUAAAUAAUCUGCUUGAAAAGUUCCAUCAGUCCUUUUUCCUCUACUUCCUUACAGCUCCAAGCAAGUUCAUUUCUGUUGGUGUGUAUAUGAUUCCGUUUGCACUGCUUUUGGCACCCCUCCCAAUAGUUGCUGCUGCUCUUGCUAAUGGCAGUAAAACCAUGGAAAAAUUGGCGGAGAAGUCAAUUGAUGACAGUAAAGCAAAUGGCAGUGCUCAUUUUCUGCAGAGUAAUAAGGGUGGAUCAUGGAAAUGGCUUCAAGCUGCAAAAGUAUUGCUUGUUAUCCAACUUUGGGCAGUUGUCGUUUCUCUACUUCCAUACUACAUUACUCAGAUCCCUGAUGCCACACCGAUGCAAAGUGCAGUGAUCUGGGCUAUGCUUUCCAUCGUCAUACUGAUUGCCCUUUAUGUCAUGUUCGGCUCACCAUACUCAGCUGGUGUUGAGUGGAAACUUCUGAAAGCUACAAUGAUCACUUCCAUCUCCAUAGGACUUGGGCUUAUGUCAAUCAUAAAUUUUGCCACAGCGCAGCUUGGGGCUCUGAUAGUGAUCCCGAUGUGUCUGUUUUCUCAGGCUCUGGUAUAAAUUUCCUUCCUCGUGCAAGUACUGUUGGCUUCAAACAUAACUCUUGCCGUGUUAGGUUUUCCUCCAGCUGCAUUGUUGAUAAUGAAAGGGCUGUCCAAGGGGUCCUGGACAGUAGACAUUGGAGAGUUCUGGGUGUGGAUGGAGUUCUUGUGGGAAUGGAGCAGCGCAACGUAUCUGUACCUGUUUCUUGUCCAUCUCCCCUGCUGGCUGCUCUGCAUCCAUGUGUUGCUGCACCCAUGCCGCCAAUCGGAAUCGAAGAUGAAGCAGGAGUACCCGUAUGGUCUCUAGGACCUUUUAUUUUAAAAUUGGAAAGUGUAGACAGCAGUGCAGAAGAUAUUUCUGACUAUUUUUGACCUGCCGACCAUUUACAUGGUUUGUCAUUGUACGGAA